CUGCUUUUGCUUCCUCCUCAUUUUUCUCUUGCUGCCACCACGUGAGAAGUGCCUUUCGCCUCCCGCCAUGAUUCUGAGGCCUCCCUAGCCAUGGGGACCUGUCGUCGCUGCCCUCAGCCUCCAGAUGCAGCCCCCCUGCCACCUUCAGGACCCCUGGCUCUCCCCUGGACUCAGUAGCGAAAGGGUUUAUGUGCUCGGAGGGAGACCUUCAGGAAUCUGUGCAUAGAAUGCCAUAGUGCAGAGGAAAGUCUUCUUUCUGAAACCAGCCCAACUUUUCUCCCAGAGAGUAUCAUGGAACUGAACUUUCAAGAUCAUGGCAUCUGGACAUCGAGAAAACAGAACCCUCAUCUGGCCACCUGCUGCUUUUUGACCAAUUCCCAUAUAAACCGCUAACUUCAGUCAGUUGGAGGGAUGGAUUUGAGAUUUGCCUUCUGUCUCUCAGGUGAUGUCACCAGCAAUAAAGCCUUCUUCCCUGGCAAUACUCAA
rnacentral:lncRNA from 1 species